rnacentral:rRNA from 1 species
AUUCCAGCUCCAAGAGCGUAUAUUAAAGUUGUUGCAGUUAAAAAGCUCGUAGUUGGAUUUCUGGUACAACGCGCCUGGCCCGCUUUUGUGAGUGCCGGUGCGCGUUUGCCAUCCUUCUAGAAAACGUCUCUACUCGGGCAACUGGGCCGGAUUCGCGAUCUAGAUCUUUUACUUUGAAAAAAUUAGAGUGUUUAAAGCAGGCUAUUGCCUUGAAUACAUUAGCAUGGAAUAAUAAUCUAGGACUUCGGUUCUAUUUUGUUGGUUCUUAGUACUGAAGUAAUGAUUGAUAGGGAUAGUUGGGGGUGCUAGUAUUGGCCGGCCAGAGGUGAAAUUCUUGGAUUCGGUCAAGACUAACUUAUGCGAAAGCAUUCACCAAGGAUGUCUUCAUCA